UUAUUCGGUUUUCCCAGCAUC
rnacentral:piRNA from 1 species